AGAGCCCCAAAUGAAUUGCUUUAGAGUUUAGAGUUGACGUCACAAUCAAGUUGCUCCGUGUGGUUCCGGCGAGUACCACCACCAACCCGCCCAGCGCCACCAUAACAACGACAAUGAGCCGGAGAUGGGCAGGGCCAAGCUCGAUAUUCUGGAAAGAAAAAUUGCAGUUACAUAGGCUGAAUUUCGUCCUGCUGCACACAGAUUUGACAGAUACCCAGGACGUGCAUGGUUCCGCAUUUGGGAAAAAAGUAUGAAGCAAAUCCAGUGGCUUAAUUAAGAGAUUUCCUUGGAAGUCUUUUGUGGGGAAAUCUCUUAUUUGUUGAUUUAACUUCGAUUUAUCUAAUGAUAUUGAGAAGUGAAGAAAAUAUGCAUCUAGCGCUAUCUUUCAAAAUAAGAUUGAAAACAUACAGAGCACAUUGAAUUUUUGAGCUCUUAACGACUGCCAUGCCAACUAUUUGUAUUUAGGAAUUUAUGCUUGCAACAAGAUCGAUUAUGUUAUGUCAGAUACAAAGUUCUUACCUGAAUUCUACUUGAUUUCAGAGUUUGAUCAGAAUGCAGACAACUGCAUGAGACGAAAAUCAAAAGGACUUCGGGUCAUGAAUCCAACAAAAUUGUUACCGUUUC